GUGAUGCCCUUAGAUGUUCUGGGCCGCACGCGCGCUACACUGACAAGGACAACGAGUUUAUAACCUUCACCGGUAGGUGCCUGGGUAAUCUUUUGAGCCCUUGUCGUGCUGGGGCUAGAUCUUUGUAAUUUUCGAUCUUCAACGAGGAAUUCCUAGUAAGCGUGUGUCAUCAGCGCACGUUGAUUACGUCCCUGCCCUUUGUACACACCGCCCGUCGCU
rnacentral:rRNA from 1 species